rnacentral:rRNA from 1 species
UACGGAGGGGGCUAGCGUUGUUCGGAAUUACUGGGCGUAAAGCGCACGUAGGCGGAUCGAUCAGUCAGGGGUGAAAUCCCAGAGCUCAACUCUGGAACUGCCUUUGAUACUGUCGAUCUGGAGUAUGGAAGAGGUGAGUGGAAUUCCGAGUGUAGAGGUGAAAUUCGUAGAUAUUCGGCGGAACACCAGUGGCGAAGGCGACUCACUGGCCCGAUACUGACGCUGAGGCGCGAAAGCGUGGGGAGCAAACAGG